CCUACGGGUGGCAGCAGUGGGGAAUAUUGCACAAUGGGGGAAACCCUGAUGCAGCAACGCCGCGUGAAGGAAGACGGUUUUCGGAUUGUAAACUUCUGUUCUUAGUGAAGAAUAAUGACGGUAGCUAAGGAGCAAGCCACGGCUAACUACGUGCCAGCAGCCGCGGUAAUACGUAGGUGGCAAGCGUUGUCCGGAAUUACUGGGUGUAAAGGGAGCGCAGGCGGGAAGCCAAGUCAGCUGUGAAAACUACGGGCUUAACUUGUAGACUGCAGUUGAAACUGGGUUUCUUGAGUGAAGUAGAGGUUGGCGGAAUUCCGAGUGUAGCGGUGAAAUGCGUAGAUAUUAGGAGGAACACCAGUGGCGAAGGCGACUUUCUGGACAGUAACUGACGUUGAGGCACGAAAGUGUGGGGAGCAAACAGGAUUAGAUACCCCGGUAGUC
rnacentral:rRNA from 1 species